UUAUAAAAAAAAGUGGAAAGGAGAGGGAGACGCGUGAGAAACAGAGCCCACGACUCCCUCGUCUCUACCAAAUCGCCGCCACCAAUGCCUCGUCUCCCUCCUCCGACCCGCCUCGUCUCCCUUGCGUCGACCCUCCCCCUCCCCUCAUCCCACCUCACAGCUCCGGAGGCUGCCAGAUCCGCCACAUCCUCACCCAACCGUCCCUCUCGCGUCCCAUCCCGGUCUCUUCACGCAGCUCCUCGCUGCGCUACCUGCGGCGGCUGCAUCAAGUGAUGUCCGGCGAAUCCCGCCAACGCCAAGCACAGCCCGAGGUCCCUUUGCUCCAUGGAGCCUUCCCAUCCAGCUAGAUCGAGUGCUUGCUGCCACCAAAGCCCACCCGCGACCCAUCCCGCAUGGCUAGGGUUUCGGGCGUCGGAUCUGGUGUCAGUGGCCAUGUCGUCCUCGUUUCCUCCGAUGUGCGGGGAGGAACGGGCAGUGGACAACCUUGCUGCGGCUCGGGAUGAAGCAGCCACGAGCUUCCUCCUCCUCCGGCUUCAGGUGAGUUGGUCCACUCCUCCCUCUGCUCUGGUUCGUGGCACAACAGGAGACAUUGUUGCUCUGGUGUUGUUAGGAUUUUCUACUGUUUGGGAUCAAGUGCCUAUUGGUUGAGGUCAAUUUGAUUUUGUUUUGCUACUAAAGUGUCAAAGCAGAGGACGACCACAUGCUCGACUGAGUCACGAUGUGUUGAGGCUGGGAAGGUCGGCAUGGCCUUCAACCAUGGCAAAUACACCUACUAUGCUGCUGCCUUGCAAGCAUUAGUGGCUAGAAAUCAACUCCUAGCUGCAUAUUCUUUCUAGGGUAACAUCAUUGUAGGGAGGGAUUCUGAAGCCCAUAUACGUAGUAACCAGUGUGUUUGAGGCAAUUAGUACAAAAAACACCUAGGCAUGGUUAAAAUUCAGGUGGGGGUCUACAAGUAAUUAAUACAGUAUAUAUCUCCAAGGCCCUAGUUAUUCUCCUGUUUCAGGUUUUGACCAUGGCCAACAUAUAUUGUUGUAGGCUAAUUACUAAAUCAAUCUAACGAUGGUUCAUGUGGCAGUGGAGGUGUACCAACGGUAGUUUGAAGCAGAUUAGGCGGCCGCGGACAUCUUUGGCGGUGAGGCCGUCCAGUGAAGGAAAUGGCAGUGUGGCGAUUUGUGUUCUAUUCUCCAUCCUUUAAGCUCAUAACAGAAGAAAGAACUAUACAAUCACUAUUAUUUUAUUAAGAAAAAAACCUAUCAUGUACGCAUGUUUUGAUGAGUACUCCUCUUGACUCGAUUGUGUUGUAGGGAGUGGAAGCAUCCAAUUGCGGUGAUCUGCAGCUCUGGUCGCCUCCAGCAGCACCACAUAAUCAAAGUUCCAAACAGUUGUGUUGGACUGCUGCCUCCAGCCAACCAUAACAUAAUCAUUGGAUGUGCUUCUUAUGUAGAAGAUUUGAGUGAUCUAUGUGUUUAUUUCAGAAAACAUUUUCUUAAUGAAGAUUUAUAUUAUAUAGAUAUUCCUGUACAUUAGCUUUAGUUUUUUUGCUAACUAGAAAGUGGUUUCCUUUUUCUUACACCAACUCACUAAAGCAUUGGGUUCAUUUGGGGUUCCUAGAUAGCUAAUUUUAGGAGCACACAAGAUUUCGACUCCUGCUAUGUAAUUAAAGGAAAUCAUGAUAUUGACUAAUAUCCUCUGUAUAUUUACUAACCCUGGAUCAGAGACAUUUAAAUUUAAAUUAUAAUUUGGAAAGUUUAUUUAUAGGAAUGAUACAUAGUAUGUAUAAAUGCAUUUAUGAAAAUAAAUUUAUUUCAGCCACAUGUAAGCCAACACAGUAUCACAUGUAAUAUUUCUCAAUUAGUUAAAAGUAUGCUUCUUUUAAAACUGGUGGUUUUAUUUUUUAUUACAUAAAAAUGUUAUAGUUAUACAUGGCAAACUAAAAUUGUUGUGCAGACACACUGGUUGAUGACUAGUCUAACUAACUCAGGGAUAAAUUCAUUGAGUAAGAUGUAAAGUUGCCAAGAUAGUAACUAGGGCACAUAGAACGGGACGAAUAUAGAUUCUCUUAUUUUAUUAAGUAGAAUGGAACUUGGUGAAGCUUUACUUGUGUUGCGCUGUUCUAGAGAUGCAUAAGACACAUGUAACCAUUUUCCCUUGGCAUUGCAGCUGCAUGCACCAACUUGAUGUAGGGCGACACCAUGGAAGGUAUACACUCUCCCUCUCCCUACUGUACUACCGCUCGUUGUGUCCAUGAACAUUGAGCCAUGCUAGGUUCUAUCUGUCCAUAUAAUGUUAUUGAGCCAUAUUGUUCUGUAGGCUAUGUCGUAUAUUAUGGCGUCUGGAUUAGUCAUCAAUGAUCACUAACACUCAUGCUGGUAUAUUUCCAGAAUCAUAACAAGGACGUAGUUCUUGCUACAGUUCUAAGUUAUGAUCCCGAAUUUAAACUUAAUGGUGCUGAAAUUAAAAUGCAUUUUGGGCAGUGUAAUACAAAACUUGCGAAAGCUGAAGAUUUGGUACAGAUUCGCAAAAACUGCAAUACUAAUGGUAAUGCAGAAAAAAUAUAUUGCAUGGCCCUCAACGUUUAUUGAAAAGAUAUAUGGAUGAUUAUAUGGGUGCGUAACAAGUAUACUGCAAUGAUGAUGAUGAUGAUGACGACGAUGAUAUUCUGGUUCAUGAUGAUGAUGAUGGAUGCUUUCAAUUUUAGUUAAGUUGUGGGAUGUUCCUGUUGGAUGAUGUUCCUCAGUUAGUUUUAGUCAAGUUGUAGGGAUAUUGAUGGAUGAUUUUAGUUUAGAUUUUGCUGUCAAGAAAAUUUUAGAUUGUGCAUCACAUUUGGAUGAUGUUCCUCCUGUAAUAUCCAUUGUUGUAAUCCAACAGUUUUAUCUGAUAUAUGAUUUCUUCC